rnacentral:rRNA from 1 species
UGCCCACUGAUAUUAAAUUAAAGGGCUGCAGUAAUUUGACUGUACAAAGGUAGCAUAAUCAUUAGUCAUUUAAUUGAUGGCUUGUAUGAAGGAUUGGAUGAGAUAUGAACUGUCUUAAUUUUAAAUUAUAAAAUUUAAUUUUUUAGUAAAAAAGCUAAAAUAAAUUAAAAAGACGAGAAGACCCUAUAGAGUUUGAUUUUAAUUUUAAAUUUAAAAAAUUUUUUUAUUAGUUUAAGAUUUUUAAUUUAUUUUAAAAUUUUAUUGGGGUGAUAGAAAAAUUAAAUUAACUUUUUUUUUAUUUAUACAUAAAUAGAUGAAUUUUUGAUCCAGUUAUAUUGAUUAAAAGAAAAAAUUACCUUAGGGAUAACAGCGUAAUUUUUUUUUUUAGUUCAUAUAAAAAUUAAAGUUUGCGACCUCGAUGUUGGAUUAAGAUAAAAUUUAAAUGUAGAAGUUUAAAAUUUUGA